rnacentral:rRNA from 1 species
GAUGAACGCUGGCGGCGUGCCUAAUACAUGCAAGUCGAGCGAAUGGAUUAAGAGCUUGCUCUUAUGAAGUUAGCGGCGGACGGGUGAGUAACACGUGGGUAACCUGCCCAUAAGACUGGGAUAACUCCGGGAAACCGGGGCUAAUACCGGAUAACAUUUUGAACCGCAUGGUUCGAAAUUGAAAGGCGGCUUCGGCUGUCACUUAUGGAUGGACCCGCGUCGCAUUAGCUAGCUGGUGAGGUAACGGCUCACCAAGGCAACGAUGCGUAGCCGACCUGAGAGGGUGAUCGGCCACACUGGGACUGAGACACGGCCCAGCCUCCUACGGGAGGCGGCAGUAGGGAAUCGGACGCAAUGGACGAAAGUCUGACGGAGCAACGCCGCGUGAGUGAUGAAGGCUUUCGGGUCGUAAAACUCUGUUGUUAGGGAAGAACAAGUGCUAGUUGAAUAAGCUGGCAUCUUGACGGUACCUAACCAGAAAGCCACGGCUAACUACGUGCCAGCCGCCGCCGUAA